rnacentral:rRNA from 1 species
GAUGAACGCUGGCGGCGUGCCUAACACAUGCAAGUCGAACGGAAAGACGAUGAGCUUGCGCCUUUGACGUUAGCGGCGGACGGGUGAGUAACGAGUGGAUCACCUACUUCUAUUUCGGGGAGAAUUACGGGAAACCGGAUAUAAUACUAGAGAAUAUAAUGUACCGCAGGGUGCAAUGGUGAUUGGCGGCUUUGGUGUCUGUAAUAGAUGGUUCCGUGCCGCAUUAGCUAGUUGGUAAGGUAACGGCUUACCAAGGCAACGAUGCGUAGCUGAGCUGAGAGGGUGAUCGGCCACACUGGAACUGAGACACGGUCCAGACUCCUACGGGAGGCAGCAGUAGGGAAUAUUGGGCAAUGGGCGAAAGCCUGACGCAGCAAUGCCGCGUGAGUGAUGAAGGCCUUCGGAUCGUAAAGCCCUUUUAUUGGGAAAGAACAGCUGUAUAAUUAACCAUGGACGUCUUGACGGUACCUAAUCAAAAAGCAACGGCUAACUACGUG